rnacentral:rRNA from 1 species
UGCCAGCAGCCGCGGUAAUACGAAGGGUGCUAGCGUUGUUCGGAAUCACUGGGCAUAAAGAGCACGUAGGCGGACACGUCAGUCGGGUGUGAAAUCCCUCGGCCUAACCGAGGAACUGCGCCCGAUACUGCGUGUCUUGAGGGCAGGAGGGGAACGUGGAAUUCCUGGUGGAGCGGUGAAAUGCGUUGAUAUCAGGAGGAACACCGGCGGCGAAGGCGACGUUCUGGCCUGCUUCUGACGCUGAGGUGCGAAAGCCAGGGGAGCAAACGGGAUUAGAUA